GGGUUGUGAGGUUAAGCGACUAAGCGUACACGGUGGAUGCCCUGGCAGUCAGAGGCGAUGAAGGACGUGCUAAUCUGCGAUAAGCGCCGGUAAGGUGAUAUGAACCGUUAUAACCGGCGAUUUCCGAAUGGGGAAACCCAGUGUGAUUCGUCACACUAUCAUUAACUGAAUCCAUAGGUUAAUGAGGCGAACCGGGGGAACUGAAACAUCUAAGUACCCCGAGGAAAAGAAAUCAACCGAGAUUCCCCCAGUAGCGGCGAGCGAACGGGGAGGAGCCCAGAGCCUGAAUCAGCAUGUGUGUUAGUGGAAGCGUCUGGAAAGGUGCGCGAUACAGGGUGACAGCCCCGUACACAAAAGCGCAUGUGCUGUGAGCUCGAUGAGUAGGGCGGGACACGUGGUAUCCUGUCUGAAUAUGGGGGGACCAUCCUCCAAGGCUAAAUACUCCUGACUGACCGAUAGUGAACCAGUACCGUGAGGGAAAGGCGAAAAGAACCCCGGCGAGGGGAGUGAAAAAGAACCUGAAACCGUGUACGUACAAGCAGUGGGAGCACCCUUCGGGGUGUGACUGCGUACCUUUUGUAUAAUGGGUCAGCGACUUAUAUUCUGUAGCAAGGUUAACCGUAUAGGGGAGCCGUAGGGAAACCGAGUCUUAACCGGGCGUUAAGUUGCAGGGUAUAGACCCGAAACCCGGUGAUCUAGCCAUGGGCAGGUUGAAGGUUGGGUAACACUAACUGGAGGACCGAACCGACUAAUGUUGAAAAAUUAGCGGAUGACCUGUGGCUGGGGGUGAAAGGCCAAUCAAACCGGGAGAUAGCUGGUUCUCCCCGAAAGCUAUUUAGGUAGCGCCUCGUGAAUUCAUCUCCGGGGGUAGAGCACUGUUUCGGCUAGGGGGCCAUCCCGGCUUACCAACCCGAUGCAAACUGCGAAUACCGGAGAAUGUUAUCACGGGAGACACACGGCGGGUGCUAACGUCCGUCGUGAAGAGGGAAACAACCCAGACCGCCAGCUAAGGUCCCAAAGUCAUGGUUAAGUGGGAAACGAUGUGGGAAGGCCCAGACAGCCAGGAUGUUGGCUUAGAAGCAGCCAUCAUUUAAAGAAAGCGUAAUAGCUCACUGGUCGAGUCGGCCUGCGCGGAAGAUGUAACGGGGCUAAACCAUGCACCGAAGCUGCGGCAGCGAACGUAUCACCCAAGACAACUUUACGGAGUUGACGAUUGACGGAGCGAAGCGACGUCAAAGCGUUCAUUAAAGUCGAGUUGGCUUAGGGAUACGUUCGUUGGGUAGGGGAGCGUUCUGUAAGCCUGUGAAGGUGUGUCGUGAGGCAUGCUGGAGGUAUCAGAAGUGCGAAUGCUGACAUAAGUAACGAUAAAGCGGGUGAAAAGCCCGCUCGCCGGAAGACCAAGGGUUCCUGUCCAACGUUAAUCGGGGCAGGGUGAGUCGACCCCUAAGGCGAGGCCGAAAGGCGUAGUCGAUGGGAAACGGGUUAAUAUUCCCGUACUUGGUGUUACUGCGAAGGGGGGACGGAGAAGGCUAUGUUGGCCGGGCGACGGUUGUCCCGGUUUAAGCGUGUAGGUGUGUGUUCCAGGUAAAUCCGGUUCACUUUAACACUGAGGCGUGACGACGAGGCACUACGGUGCUGAAGCAACAAAUGCCCUGCUUCCAGGAAAAGCCUCUAAGCAUCAGGUAACACGAAAUCGUACCCCAAACCGACACAGGUGGUCAGGUAGAGAAUACCAAGGCGCUUGAGAGAACUCGGGUGAAGGAACUAGGCAAAAUGGUGCCGUAACUUCGGGAGAAGGCACGCUGACACGUAGGUGAAGUGAUUUACUCAUGGAGCUGAAGUCAGUCGAAGAUACCAGCUGGCUGCAACUGUUUAUUAAAAACACAGCACUGUGCAAACACGAAAGUGGACGUAUACGGUGUGACGCCUGCCCGGUGCCGGAAGGUUAAUUGAUGGGGUCAGCGCAAGCGAAGCUCCUGAUCGAAGCCCCGGUAAACGGCGGCCGUAACUAUAACGGUCCUAAGGUAGCGAAAUUCCUUGUCGGGUAAGUUCCGACCUGCACGAAUGGCGUAAUGAUGGCCAGGCUGUCUCCACCCGAGACUCAGUGAAAUUGAACUCGCUGUGAAGAUGCAGUGUACCCGCGGCAAGACGGAAAGACCCCGUGAACCUUUACUAUAGCUUGACACUGAACAUUGAGCCUUGAUGUGUAGGAUAGGUGGGAGGCUUUGAAGUGUGGACGCCAGUCUGCAUGGAGCCGACCUUGAAAUACCACCCUUUAAUGUUUGAUGUUCUAACGUGGACCCGUAAUCCGGGUUGCGGACAGUGUCUGGUGGGUAGUUUGACUGGGGCGGUCUCCUCCUAAAGAGUAACGGAGGAGCACGAAGGUUGGCUAAUCCUGGUCGGACAUCAGGAGGUUAGUGCAAUGGCAUAAGCCAGCUUGACUGCGAGCGUGACGGCGCGAGCAGGUGCGAAAGCAGGUCAUAGUGAUCCGGUGGUUCUGAAUGGAAGGGCCAUCGCUCAACGGAUAAAAGGUACUCCGGGGAUAACAGGCUGAUACCGCCCAAGAGUUCAUAUCGACGGCGGUGUUUGGCACCUCGAUGUCGGCUCAUCACAUCCUGGGGCUGAAGUAGGUCCCAAGGGUAUGGCUGUUCGCCAUUUAAAGUGGUACGCGAGCUGGGUUUAGAACGUCGUGAGACAGUUCGGUCCCUAUCUGCCGUGGGCGCUGGAGAACUGAGGGGGGCUGCUCCUAGUACGAGAGGACCGGAGUGGACGCAUCACUGGUGUUCGGGUUGUCAUGCCAAUGGCACUGCCCGGUAGCUAAAUGCGGAAGAGAUAAGUGCUGAAAGCAUCUAAGCACGAAACUUGCCCCGAGAUGAGUUCUCCCUGAGACUUAGAGUCUCCUGAAGGAACGUUGAAGACGACGACGUUGAUAGGCCGGGUGUGUAAGCGCAGCGAUGCGUUGAGCUAACCGGUACUAAUGAACCGUGAGGCUUAACCUUACAACGCCGAAG
rnacentral:rRNA from 1 species